UACGGGGGGAGCAAGCGUUGUUCGGAUUUACUGGGCGUAAAGGGCGCGUAGGCGGUCAGCACAAGUCAGUUGUGAAAUCUCCGAGCUUAACUCGGAAAGGUCAACUGAUACUGUGCGACUAGAGUGCGGAAGGGGCAACUGGAAUUCUUGGUGUAGCGGUGAAAUGCGUAGAUAUCAAGAGGAACACCUGCGGCGAAGGCGGGUUGCUGGACCGACACUGACGCUGAAGUGCGAAAGCCAGGGGAGCGAACGGG
rnacentral:rRNA from 1 species